AUGAACGCUGGCGGUAGGCCUAACACAUGCAAGUCGAACGGCAGCACAGAGGAGCUUGCUCCUUGGGUGGCGAGUGGCGGACGGGUGAGGAAUACGUCGGAAUCUACCCUGUCGUGGGGGAUAACGUAGGGAAACUUACGCUAAUACCGCAUACGACCUUCGGGUGAAAGGGGGGGCUCGCAAGACCUCUCGCGAUUGGAUGAGCCGAUGUCGGAUUAGCUAGUUGGCGGGGUAAAAGCCCACCAAGGCGACGAUCCGUAGCUGGUCUGAGAGGAUGAUCAGCCACACUGGAACUGAGACACGGUCCAGACUCCUACGGGAGGCAGCAGUGGGGAAUAUUGGACAAUGGGCGCAAGCCUGAUCCAGCCAUACCGCGUGGGUGAAGAAGGCCUUCGGGUUGUAAAGCCCUUUUGUUGGGAAAGAAAAGCGACCGGCUAAUACCCGGUUGUUCUGACGGUACCCAAAGAAUAAGCACCGGCUAACUUCGUGCCAGCCGCCGCCGUAACAC
rnacentral:rRNA from 1 species